GCGAUCUCCGCUCACUGCAAGCUCCGCCUUCCGGGUUCACGCCAUUCUCCUGCCUCAGCCUCCCGAGUAGCUGGGACUACAGGCGCCCGCCACUGCGCCCGGCUAAUUUUUUGUAUUUUUAGUAGAGAGGGGGUUUCACCGUGGUCUCGAUCUCCUGACCUCGUGAUCCGCCCGCCUCAGCCUCCCAAAGUGCUGGGAUUACAGGCGUGAGCCACCGCGCCCGGCCAGUUCAAUGGAUUUUAAAAAUUAUUAUUCUCUAGAAAAAAGACCACGAACUUUGGAGUGGACAUCCUGAGACCUGCCUACGAAGACCAUUAGGUGGCCUCCAGAAGACACUCCCCUGAUUCCUACACCGAGGGAACACACAGCAGCAAGCUAGGAAAGAAGGGGUGACCCAGCCCAACGCUGUAAACCAGGGCGCGAACCGGCGUUGAGCUGUGCAGCUGCGCCCUGGGCUCCAGUCCUGCUCUGCCGCAGACCCCACCGGAGCCAGCACCUGCCUCCCCGACCCUCGCUGGGGCGGCUGUGAGAUGAGCCCAGAGCCUUCCUGAGCCAACCCUCGCAAGGAAAGUCUGUCUGUUCACCCCACUAUCCUUGUCUUGAAGGAUGAAGAAAAGAGGGCCCCCCGGGAGGUCCCAAAAGGUGGAAUGGACAUCUGGGAUCCAAGCACAGCAAUUUCUUUAUUUUUCUUAAGGUAUCCAGCUUGUUGGAAUCUAAGAUCUGCGAAGGUAUUAAUAGAAUUCCUGCAUCUUCUGCCACUCCCCAUAGAAGCUUGAAGUUACACAAAUGUUAAAUUAUACGUCAGAUGUGCAUAUAUGAACAAAACCUACGAGUGUGCAUGAAAUAACACCUUCUUAAAUAUAUAGAUUCUUUUUUCUGCAAUAUUAAAUGGAAACCCCACUAGAACAUCGUUUUUCCUUAAUAGCAUACCCUCCACACUGUGUGGUCUAAAUUCAAGCUCUACCACCUACUAGCCAUUAAGCAAGUUAUUAAGGUCUUCGUGCUUCCAUUUUCUUACGUGGAAAAUGAGGUGGCAAUAGUAUGUAUGAGUUCUUCGGAGGGAUUAAACAAGUCAAAUAGGCCAAGUGCCAUGGCUUACACCUGUAAGCCCAGCACUUUGGGAGGCCAAGGCAGGAGGACUGCUUGAGCCCAGGAGGUCAAGGCUGAAGUGAGCUGUGUUUGCAUCACUGCACUCCAGCCUGGGCAGCAGAGUGAGACUUUGUCUCUCAAUAAAUAAAGAAAUAGUCAAAUUAAAUAUAACUGGCAAACUAAAACAACUCCAUAGUCCUUAGCUACAAUUUGUCUCAUUUCUCCAAAGAAUUAAAUCAGAUGAUUCUUAACUAACUCAAAGCUCUGCAUAAUUUGUCUUCUGCUACACAUACAUCUUUAUAGUAAAAUAAAAUAAAGCUGUCCCCUCUGUAUUGAGAAGUUAUUCUGGUAAAUAUUUGACCUCUUCAAAUAUAUGAACGAGCACUUGCCUUCUAAUGCCUCAGUUUCAGAUUCUUUUUAGAAAUGUCAUUAUUCAAGAAAAAUGCACAAUGGGAAGAAUCUUAACAACAGCACUUUGUUACUUCAGCCUCUCACUAGAGGAUGAAAAUCGUUCUGCAUAAAGGCCUGGGCUUUAUGAAAAAUAUAUUCACACCUCCCGUGUCCGAGCUGGGAUACCAAAGAAGUUCCUGGUUGAGUACUACUUAUGAAUGAAGGAUUCAGGGGAUGCACAGGACACAGAGGAAUCUGGGGGAUAUUAUGGUUCUGGGAAUGUGGAAUGUAACGUCUCAUCUUCAGCCCAUCUGUGCUACUGAUCAUCUCAUUCCAGAAGCCAUGCCUUCUCUCAGGAGCAGACAGCACAAGACUUUCCUGCCAGAGGCACAGUCCCCAGGUGAGCCACACAGCCUUCACAGGGUAAUGCCAAAGAACAGAGGAGAGUUCCUGCUACUCUCCGGGUCUUCUUGGCAAAGCUUCUGAUACAGUCUGGCUGUCUCUCCACCUGAAUCUCAUCUUGAAUUGUAGCUCCCAUAAUUCUCGUAUGUCAUGGGAGGGAUCAGGUGAGAGGUAACUGAAUCAUGGGGGUGGGUCUUUCCUGUGCCGUUCUCGUGACAGUGAAUAAGUUUUAUGAGAUCUGAUGGUUUUAUAAAGGGGAGUUCCCCUGCAAAUGUUC
rnacentral:lncRNA from 1 species